rnacentral:tRNA from 1 species
CCUGCUUGGUCUCGGUCGAGGCGAGCUGCAGGUUCGUCAGCUUGGUCACGCCGUCGACGAGGCCGGCGAUCUCGGCGCCGAAGCGGGCC